AUUGAACGCUGGCGGCAGGCCUAACACAUGCAAGUCGAACGAGUGGCGGACGGGUGAGUAAUGUCUGGGAAACUGCCUGAAGGUGGGGGAUAACUACUGGAAACGGUCGCUAAUACCGCAUACCAUCAGAUGUGCCCAGAUGGGAUUAGCUUGUUGGUGGGGUAACGGCGCACCAAGGCGACGAGCCCUAGCUGGUCUGAGAGGAUGACCAGCCACACUGGAACUGAGACACGGUCCAGACUCCUACGGGAGGCAGCAGUGGAGAAUAUUGCACAAGGGGCGAUAGCCUGAUGCAGCCAUGCCGCGUGUAUGAAGAAGGCCUUCGGGUUGUAAAGUACUUUCAGCGGGGAGGCGUUACCCGCAGAAGAAGCACCGGCUGACUCCGUGCCAGCAGCCGCGGUAAUAC
rnacentral:rRNA from 1 species